rnacentral:rRNA from 1 species
CCUACGGGAGGCAGCAGUGGGGAAUAUUGCACAAUGGGGGGAACCCUGAUGCAGCGACGCCGCGUGGGUGAAGGAGUAUUUCGGUAUGUAAAGCCCUAUCAUCAGGGAAGAACAAUGACGGUACCUGACUAAGAAGCACCGGCUAAUUACGUGCCAGCAGCCGCGGUAAUACGUAGGGUGCAAGCGUUAUCCGGAUUUACUGGGUGGAAAGGGAGCGCAGGCGGCGCGUUAAGCCUGGUGUGAAAGCCCGCGGCUCAACCGCGGAACUGCAUUGGAAACUGGCGCGCUAGAGUUGCGGAGGGGUAGGCGGAAUUCUUGGUGUAGCGGUAAAAUGCGUAGAUAUUAGGAGGAACACCCGUGGCGAAGGCGGCCUACUAGACGGUGACUGACGCUGAGGCUCGAAAGCGUGGGGAGCAAACAGGAUUAGAUACCCCAGUAGUC